UACGGAGGGGGCUAGCGUUGUUCGGAAUUACUGGGCGUAAAGCGCGCGUAGGCGGCUCUUCAAGUCGGGGGUGAAAGCCUGCAGCUCAACUGCGGAACUGCCUUCGAUACUGUCGAGCUUGAGUGCAGGAGGGGUGAUCGGAACUCCAGGUGUAGCGGUGAAAUGCGUAGAUAUCUGGAGGAACACCGGAGGCGAAGGCGGAUCACUGGACUGCCACUGACGCUGAGGCGCGAAAGCUAGGGGAGCAAACAGG
rnacentral:rRNA from 1 species